UCAUUCCUACGGGGCGCAGCAGUAGGGAAUCUUCCACAAUGGGCGAAAGCCUGAUGGAGCAACGCCGCGUGGGUGAAGAAGGUCUUCGGAUCGUAAAACCCUGUUGUUAGAGAAGAAAGUGCGUGAGAGUAACUGUUCACGUUUCGACGGUAUCUAACCCGAAAGCCACGGCUAACUACGUGCCAGCAGCCGCGGUAAUACGUAGGUGGCAAGCGUUAUCCGGAUUUAUUUGGCGUUAAGGGAACGCAGGCGGUCUUUUUAGUCUGAUGUUAAAGCCUUCGGCUUAACCCGAGUAG
rnacentral:rRNA from 1 species